rnacentral:rRNA from 1 species
UACAGAGGGUGCUAGCGUUGUUCGGAAUUAUUGGGCGUAAAGCGCUUGUAGGCGGCCUGCCAGGUCUGCUGUGAAAACUCGAGGCUCAACCUCGAGAUGUCGGCGGAAACCGUCUGGCUAGAGUCCGGAAGAGGAGAGUGGAAUUCCUGGUGUAGCGGUGAAAUGCGCAGAUAUCAGGAAGAACACCUAUGGCGAAGGCAGCUCUCUGGGACGGUACUGACGCUGAGACGCGAAAGCGUGGGGAGCGAACAGG